rnacentral:rRNA from 1 species
AUAUCAAUAAGCGGAGGAAAAGAAACUAACAAGGAUUCCCCCAGUAACUGCGAGUGAAGCGGCAAAAGCUCAGAUUUGAAAUCAGGUGCGUCUCCGCGCCCGAGUUGUAAUCUGGAGAGGAUGCUCCGGCGAAACCGGCCGCCCAAGUUCCUUGGAACAGGACGUCUCAGAGGGUGAGAACCCCGUACCCGGCGGCAUGGCUAGCCAUGUGGAGCUCCCUCGACGAGUCGAGUUGUUUGGGAAUGCAGCUCAAACUGGGUGGUAAAUUCCAUCUAAAGCUAAAUAUUGGACGGGAGACCGAUAGCGCACAAGUA